GAUUAGUGGCGAACGGGUGAGUAACACGUGGGCAAUCUGCCCUGCACUCUGGGACAAGCCCUGGAAACGGGGUCUAAUACCGGAUACUGAUCCGUCUGGGCAUCCAGACGGUUCGAAAGCUCCGGCGGUGCAGGAUGAGCCCGCGGCCUAUCAGCUUGUUGGUGAGGUAGUGGCUCACCAAGGCGACGACGGGUAGCCGGCCUGAGAGGGCGACCGGCCACACUGGGACUGAGACACGGCCCAGACUCCUACGGGAGGCAGCAGUGGGGAAUAUUGCACAAUGGGCGAAAGCCUGAUGCAGCGACGCCGCGUGAGGGAUGACGGCCUUCGGGUUGUAAACCUCUUUCAGCAGGGAAGAAGCGAAAGUGACGGUACCUGCAGAAGAAGCGCCGGCUAACUACGUGCCAGCAGCCGCGGUAAUACGUAGGGCGCGAGCGUUGUCCGGAAUUAUUGGGCGUAAAGAGCUCGUAGGCGGCUUGUCACGUCGGUUGUGAAAGCCCGGGGCUUAACCCCGGGUCU
rnacentral:rRNA from 1 species